GGUCAAGUUAUUAAGGGCUUACGGUGGAUGCCUUGGGACCAAAGGCCGAUGAAGGGCGCGGUAAGGCUGCGUUAAGCCUCGAUGAGCCGUCUAACGGGCAUAGUCGGGGAUACCCGAAUGGGGAAACCUUAUCCGGUGUUGAGUCGGAUAAUCCUUUCUGUAAAGGAAGGAGGGCAAGUGGGGGAACUGAAACAUCUAAGUACCCCGAGGAAAAGAAAUCAACCGAGAUUCCCUCAGUAGUGGCGAACGAACGGGGAACAGCCUAAACCAGUAUGACUUAGUGGCAUAAGGGCCUAUGUCAUAUUGGUGUUGCAGGGAUAGCCUUGAGCCCCCUUAUGAGGCUCAAAGGAGUUACAAAUCUUAUUUCUAGUCGAAAGAUCCUGGGAAGGACCGCCAUAGAGGGUGACAGCCCCGUAGGCGAAAGGGAUAAGACUCCUGGCAUAUUACCUAAGUACCACGGGGCACGGGAAACCUUGUGGGAAUCUGGGGGGACCACCCUCCAAGGCUAAAUACCUUUGGUCACCGAUAGCGUACCAGUACCGUGAGGGAAAGGUGAAAAGAACCCCUAGCGGGGAGUGAAAUAGAUCUGAAACCGUAAGCCUACAGAAGGUUGUAGUCCUUCCCUUUGGGAAGGAUGGCAGCGUGCCUAUUGAAGAAUGAUCCGGGGACUUAAUGUAUGGAGCAAGGUUAAGGAACUGUAGUUCCGGAGCCGUAGCGAAAGCGAGUCUGAAUAGGGCGCCAAGUUCCAUGUAUUAGACUCGAAACCGGGUGAGCUACCCAUGGCCAGGUUGAAGGUCCGGUAACACGGACUGGAGGACCGAACUCGUGGCUAGUACAAAAGCUUGGGAUGAGCUGUGGGUAGAGGUGAAAUGCCAAUCGAACUCGGAAAUAGCUAGUUCUCCUCGAAAUGCAUUUAGGUGCAGCCUCGAUCUAUAGGUGAACGGAGGUAGGGCACUGGAUGGGCUAGGGGGCGUGAGCUUACCAAACCCAACCAAACCACCAAUGCCGUUUAACCGUUAAUCGGGAGUGAGACCGGCACAGAUAAGUGCGUCGGUCGAAAGGGAAACAGCCCAGACCACCGGCUAAGGCCCCCAAGAAUUGACUAAGUGGGAAAGGAAGUUAGGUUCCCCAAACAACCAGGAGGUUGGCUUAGAAGCAGCCAUCCUUUAAAGAGUGCGUAAUAGCUCACUGGUCGAGGGAUCUGGCGCCGAAAAUGUAACGGGGCUUAAGUCAAUCGCCGAAGCCGUGGAUGUACAGGUACAAGGAAGAAAUCUUCACAACUUAAAGUGAAUCCAAUAGUGGAAGUUACCUUCGGGUUUCCGAAGCUUGCGGUGCAGCCAGCGGGCGUGAAGCCAGACUCUUUGGUUUAUGCCUGUGCGUGGUAGAGGAGCGUCCCUCGGGCAGUGAAGGUUAACCGUGAGGUUGGCUGGAGCGCGGGGGAGUGAGAAUCCCGGAAUGAGUAGCGUAAACUAGGGUUAAAAUCCCUGGCGCCGAAAGCCCAAGGUUUCCUACGCAAUGCUUGUCAGCGUAGGGUUAGUCGGUCCUAAGCCGUAGGCAAGAGCCGAAGGCGAUGGACAGCAGGUUAAUAUUCCUGCACUGCCGUAUUUUCGCUUAAAUCUAAGGAGGGAUGCAGGAGGGUAGGUAGAGCAUGCCUAUUGGACAUGGUGUGUGCUUUUUCGUAGGUAGUCGGAGCAGGCAAAUCCACUCUGACGUUAUGCUGAGGAUUGAGCGAAUCGAAGCCUUCGGGCUUACGAAACUCUAUUGAACCCAUACUGACAAGAAAAGCUUCGUAGAUAUGGGAAUAUGGCAACCGUACCGCAAACCGCCACUGGUGGGCUAGGAUAAAAGUCCUAAGGCGUUCGAGCGAACCUCCGUUAAGGAACUAGACAAAAGAGCCCUGUAACUUCGGGAGAAAGGGCCCCCCGGUGGGUGUAGUCACUUGCUGAUGAAGCACUCUGGGGGCGCAGAAAAGAAGGCCGGGCGACUGUUUAACAAAAACACAGGUCUGUGCUAAGGGGAAACCCAACGUAUACAGGCUGACGCCUGCCCAGUGCCGGAAGGUUAAGGGGAAGAGUGAGAGCUUUGAACUGAAGCCCCGGUGAACGGCGGCCGUAACUCUAACGGUCUACCAAGAACCAACUAGAUGGAGUCAGAGGACGUGUUCUCUGGUCUUACGUUGGCAGUCUUAAGGCCGUUGUAAAAUUUGGCUAUAUGCUGGAAACUCCGAGUAUCCGGCGCUACCGACUGGUUUAAUCUGAAUCAGAAGGUGACAAUGCGUCCGGUGCGGACAAUCAGCAGGAAAGACUUAGGAGAAGAAGCUUUGACCCGUCCAAGGGUCGCUGUAUUCCUCAUAAGAAUCCUCAGAGACUAUACGCCAGACCCCUGUCGGAACCAGUGGGAAGAUAUAGUCCGAUCUAUGUGGCGACAUAUAGAGACCGGCAGAAAUGAUCGGUCCCGUCUAGCAUCACCGUCGUGCGUAAGAACCGUGGUACUCCGGUAUCUUGGUCCUAUCGUAUUUUGGGUGGAGUUAGAUGAGUAACAACAUGCCUAAGGUAGCGAAGUCCCUUGUCGGGUAAGUUCCGACCCGCAUGAAUGGUUGAACGACUUGGCCAUUGUCUCGACGGAGGCCUCGGUGAAAUUACGGUGCCCGUGAAGACGCGGGCGACCUGCGGCAGGACAAAAAGACCCCGUGGAGCUUUACUGUAGCCUGGUAUUGGUCUGGGAACUGUCAUGUGUAGGAUAGGUGGGAGACUUUGAAGUUGCGACGCCAGUCGUGAUGGAGUCGUCCUUGAAAUACCACCCUUGGUUGUUUUUGGUUCUAACCUCUGCAAAACAGGGGGACAGUGCCUGGUGGGCAGUUUAACUGGGGCGGUUGCCUCCGAAAAGGUAACGGAGGCGUCCAAAGGUUCACUCAGGACGGAUGGAAAUCGUCCUUAGAACGCAUUGGCAUAAGUGAGCUUGACUGCAAGACCUACAAGUCGAGCAGGGACGAAAGUCGGGCAAAGUGAUCCUACGGCACCGUGUGGAAGGGCCGUGGCUUAUCGGAUAAAAGCUACCCCGGGGAUAACAGGCUUAUCUCGCCCAAGAGUUCACAUCGACGGCGAGGUUUGGCACCUCGAUGUCGGCUCGUCCCAUCCUGGGGCUGAAGGCGGUCCCAAGGGUCCGGCUGUUCGCCGGUUAAAGGGGUACGUGAGUUGGGUUCAGAACGUCGUGAGACAGUUCGGUCUCUAUCCGCCGUGGGCGCAGGAGGCUUGAGGGAACCUCUUCCUAGUACGAGAGGACCGGAAGGGAUAGACCUAUGGUGUGCCAGUUGUUCCGCCAGGAGCAGCGCUGGGUAGCCAUGUCUAGUAUUGAUAAGCGCUGAAGGCAUCUAAGCGCGAAGCUGCCCCCAAGAUGAGGCCUCCCUUUCCUAUUAAGUUAGGAAGUAAGACUGCAGAGAGACUAUCUGCUUGAUAGGCCGGAUGUGUAAGGAUAGUAAUAUCUUCAGCAUACCGGUACUAACCGGUCGAGAGGCUUGACCCAC
rnacentral:rRNA from 1 species